AGAAUCUAAGUACUAAAGAACCAAGGACUAAACUUCAGUUGGGUCAUCCAUGUAUAAAUGAUAUGAUGCAGGAGAUGGUGAUUAAGUUGGGGGAAAGAGGGUGAAGCGGCCCUUGGAGACAACUAACACAGCCUGCCUGCCCCGACCAGGCACAGCUACAGCCAAGUCAGAGGCCCUGGGGCUGACUGGGACCCAGAAGAGAAAUGAGAGCUGGAGAAGAGGAACAGACAAGCCUCUCCAACACAGCACGGACUCUAGCUAGGCUGGCUCUGAGACUUCUAGUGACCUUGAGACCUCAUAACUUCAGGUCAGUUUAGCCAUGUUUGUAAGUGUGGAUUUAAUAGUGGAUUUAUUUCUAGAAAAUGGAACAAUCUUUAUCUUUCCAAUUAAUAUACACUGCCCAGAAAUGUCUUAGUUUCCUGUAGUUUCUAGUGAGAAUUGUUGACUUUCUACCAACACUUUGCAAAUUAAGAAGUAGAUUUCACACUUCUAUGAUCAGAACUCAGGAAUACUACUAAAUGGGAUCAAAUCACUUAUUCUCUCAAAAGUUGCACAUCUAUCAUACAGGGUACUGAGAAAUUCAUGUGAAAUGAUACAUGUGAACAUCUUUUGAAAAGCACAAAGUAGCCUAUGACAGUGAUGGCUGGCUUUAUUAACAGUGCGAUAUUUUGCUGAUGUUUUGCUCAAGUUAAAAUUAUAGAAACUAAGUAAGUAACACAAUGAAUUUAUGGUUCUCAACUGGUGAGAAGGAGAUGAAAAUAACAGCUUUAUCAGAUGUAGUUUCUAACAGAGCUAAUUUGUCUGCAGAACUUGGCAUAUCAUUGCUCAUGAGCACUCAUCUUUAAUGUGUCAUGGCUAGAAUAAAGAAAACAAUAUAAGCCUACUCUUUUUUUAAUCUCUUUUUUGCAGCUCAUAAGGUAUGGAGGAUAUGCAAACUAUGCAGGGUGAACACUUUUGAAUCACCCUAUGUAAAACAGCACCCUCACUUUCUAUGAUCUAUUCUCCUUUAUUUUUCUUCAUAGCACUUAACAUUACCUGAACCAUAUUGCAUAUAUAUUUGUAUAUUUCUUUAUUGCUGUGUCUGCUUACAGAACAUAAGCUUCGUGAGGAACAAGAACGUUAUUUUGUUCACCUGUGUCCCUACCUCUUCAUCAAUGCUUGGUACCAAUAGGCACUUAAAUAUUUACCAAAUGUACAUAUUUUCCAGAAAUCCUUUAUCCUCCAGCCUAUCAACAAUCAAGAGUCAGACAACAGUGUAUCAUGGAAUGGACAGUGGUUUGGGGCAAUCACCUAUCACCGAACCUGAGGCAAUGUUCCCUGUAAAAGACAAAAGACACAUCUACCUGCCUUCAGCCUCCAUCAGCAUUUUCCAGUUUUUGAUCAGGAGUCAGUCCUUUUGCAUGCAGCCUCCACACAGGUGGCUCAUGCUGAGGAGCCUUUGUACUGAGACCUUCAUUAAUAAGCAUACGCAAUA
rnacentral:lncRNA from 1 species